UAGGGAAUCUUCCACAAUGGACGCAAGUCUGAUGGAGCAACGCCGCGUGAGUGAAGAAGGUUUUCGGAUCGUAAAGCUCUGUUGUUGGUGAAGAAGGAUAGAGGUAGUAACUGGCCUUUAUUUGACGGUAAUCAACCAGAAAGUCACGGCUAACUACGUGCCAGCAGCCGCGGUAAUACGUAGGUGGCAAGCGUUGUCCGGAUUUAUUGGGCGUAAAGCGAGCGCAGGCGGAAGAAUAAGUCUGAUGUGAAAGCCCUCGGCUUAACCGAGGAACUGCAUCGGAAACUGUUUUUCUUGAGUGCAGAAGAGGAGAGUGGAAUUCCAUGUGUAGCGGUGGAAUGCGUAGAUAUAUGGAAGAACACCAGUGGAGAAGGCGACUAUCUGGUCUGAAACUGACGCUGAGGCUCGAAAGCAUGGGUAGCGAACAGG
rnacentral:rRNA from 1 species